rnacentral:rRNA from 1 species
UACGUAGGGUCCGAGCGUUGUCCGGAAUUAUUGGGCGUAAAGAGCUCGUAGGUGGUUUGUCGCGUUGUUCGUGAAAACUCACAGCUCAACUGUGGGCGUGCGGGCGAUACGGGCAGACUGGAGUACUGCAGGGGGAGACUGGAAUUCCUGGUGUAGCGGUGAAAUGCGCAGAUAUCAGGAGGAACACCGAUGGCGAAGGCAGGUCUCUGGGCCAUAACUGACGCUGAGAAGCGAAAGCAUGGGGAGCGAACAGG